CGAACGUUACAUGAGUAACAAACU
rnacentral:siRNA from 1 species